UAGCUCAGUUGGUAGAGCGUCUGCCUUACAAGCAGAAUGUCGGCGGUUCGAUCCCUGU
rnacentral:tRNA from 1 species